GAUGAACGCUGGCGGCGUGCCUAAUACAUGCAAGUCGAGCGAACGGACGAGAAGCUUGCUUCUCUGAUGUUAGCGGCGGACGGGUGAGUAACACGUGGAUAACCUACCUAUAAGACUGGGAUAACUUCGGGAAACCGGAGCUAAUACCGGAUAAUAUUUUGAACCGCAUGGUUCAAAAGUGAAAGACGGUCUUGCUGUCACUUAUAGAUGGAUCCGCGCUGCAUUAGCUAGUUGGUAAGGUAACGGCUUACCAAGGCAACGAUGCAUAGCCGACCUGAGAGGGUGAUCAGCCACACUGGAACUGAGACACGGUCCAGACUCCUACGGGAGGCAGCAGUAGGGAAUCUUCCGCAAAGGGCGAAAGCCUGACGGAGCAACGCCGCGUGAGUGAUGAAGGUCUUCGGAUCGUAAAGCUCUGUUAUUAGGGAAGAACAUAUGUGUAAGUAACUGUGCACAUCUUGACGGUACCUAAUCAGAAAGCCACGGCUAACUACGUG
rnacentral:rRNA from 1 species